UACAGAGGGUGCGAGCGUUGUCCGGAAUCACUGGGUUUAAAGGGCGCGUAGGCGGCCUGAUAAGUAGGGGGUGAAAUCCUGCGGCUUAACCGCAGGGCUGCCUUCUAAACUGUUAGGCUAGAGCACGGUAGAGGCAGAUGGAAUUCCCGGUGUAGCGGUGGAAUGCGUAGAGAUCGGGAAGAACAUCAGUGGCGAAGGCGGUCUGCUGGGCCGUUGCUGACGCUGAGGCGCGACAGCGUGGGGAGCAAACAGG
rnacentral:rRNA from 1 species